CGUUGGCGCCCUCUAGUGGCCAUGCCGGAGCAGCCCCGCACUGCCCGCUGGGAAGCGGGAGGCGCAGACUUGGGAAGCCUGGAGGCGGGAAGCGCACACGCUGGGAAGAGGGUGGCGCAGGAGGACGCUCGGCUCACCUGGUCCCGCUGAUCGCUUAGAUUCCACCCACAUCGGCCUAAGUAACCCAGAAAACCGCCAGAAGACUAGCAGAACGGACUCUCCGGAGCCAAGCGUAGACGAGAGGCCCACGGAAGAGGAUCCACCCCCUGGGAUCCGCUCGGUCGGUUCGUGGCCAGAUCCCAUCGAAGGAGCACCACAAGCCUGGCAGUGUGCGAGCAGCCCAGACGGGCCACACCACUCCACACGCAGGGGAAGUGCCCUGCAGUGUGGAGCUACCGGAUCUCUAGCAAACUCCGGGUCUGAUCCAGUGCGCCCCAGACCGACCCACUAACCGCACAGGGACCCGAUCCUGCCCACAACAGGUAGAGCCACUGCACGGAAGGCGAGCGCAGUUCAGCCACUGCAGUAGCAACUGCUACCGUAGCAACGCACACAGGGACGCCCCUGAAGCGCCAUCUUCCCGUUAACAGGGGACACUGCACCGCGGGGCACUACAGGACCUCGUCUUCCUAAGGCCACUGCUUUAAGUGCGGGAGACGCAGCUGACUUUGCUAACAGAGACACAGACGCAGCAGUAGACAAAAUGAGGAGACGGAGGAAUAGGUCCCAGAUGAAAGAACAGAACAAGACCACAGCGAGAGACGUAACCAAAACGGAGACGUGUUCUGUAACUGAUCUAGAAUUUAGAGUAACCCUCCUAAAGAUGUUGGCUACAGUCGAGGAAAGCCUGGAGAACAUCCAGAAAGACCUAAAACACCUAAAAAAGGACCGGGAAGAGAUGAUCAACUCACUAAAAGAAACGAACAAGAGACCAUCUGGAAAAAAUAAGAAAGAAGAGACCGGACAAGGGCAGAGCAGCAGCCCGGACAAAGUAGUGGAAAGUCACCAAGCUGAGCCAGUGAGAGCGAGAAAAGUUGUGCAAGAUGAGAACAGACCUAGGGAACUCCGUGACACCAUCAAGCGUAACAGUCGAGUUACAGGGGUUGCAGCAGGAGAAGAGAGAGAAAAGGAGGCAGAACAUUUAUUUGAGGAGAUAAAAGCUGAAAACUCCCUGAAUCUGGAGAAGGAAACAGAAACCCAGACCCAGGAGGCGCAGAGAGCCCCCCAAAAAACCAACCCGUAGAGUUCCAUACCAGGCCAGCCAGUAAAUAAAAUGGCAAAACCUAAGGAUAAAGAGAGAAUUUUAAAAGCAUCAAGAGGAGAGAAAGCAGUUGCAUCCAAGGAAAAUCCCUUAAGGCUAUCCGGAUUUUUCAGCAGAAACUUCAGAGAUUAGAAGGGAGCAGCAUGAUAUAUUCAGGUGCUAAGAGGCAAAAGUCUUCAGCCAAGAACACUGGCCGGCAAGGCUAUCCUUCAGAAUAGGAGAGAGUUUCCCAAACUAACAAAAGGGAAAGGAAUUCAUGGCAGGGAGGAAAACCAGCCACUUCCCUGUCACACACAACGCCACCGGCCUGUGGGUCCCAAAUCCACAGUCCAGCCACCCUCCUGCCGGAGUCUGCUUGUGGGCACUAAAAGAGACAAACCCAAA